CAAUAGCGUAUAUUAAUGUUGUUGCGGUAAAAAAGCUCGUAGUUGGAUUUCUACCGAAGAUAGCCGGUCGGGUCUUCGACCUUGUAUCUGGUUUUGUCUUUGGUAUCCUCAUAGGGAACGUUUCUGCGCUUUAUUGCGUGGUGCGGUAUCUAUGACUUUUACUUUGAGGAAAUUAGAGUGUUCACGGCAGGCAAACGCCUUGAAUAUAUUAGCAUGGAAUAAUAACAUAGGAUCUUCGCCCUAUUUUGUUGGUUUCUAGGGCUAAGAUAAUGAUUAAUAGGGAUAAUUGGGGGCAUCUGUAUCAACGCGUCAGAGGUGGAAUUCUUGGAUUGCGUUGCGACAAACUACUGCGAAAGCAUUUGCCAAGGAUGUUUUCAUUGA
rnacentral:rRNA from 1 species